GACGAACGCUGGCGGCGUGCUUAACACAUGCAAGUCGAACGGAAAGGCCCUGCUUUUGUGGGGUGCUCGAGUGGCGAACGGGUGAGUAACACGUGAGUAACCUGCCCUUGACUUUGGGAUAACUUCAGGAAACUGGGGCUAAUACCGGAUAGGAGCUCCUGCUGCAUGGUGGGGGUUGGAAAGUUUCGGCGGUUGGGGAUGGACUCGCGGCUUAUCAGCUUGUUGGUGGGGUAGUGGCUUACCAAGGCUUUGACGGGUAGCCGGCCUGAGAGGGUGACCGGCCACAUUGGGACUGAGAUACGGCCCAGACGCCUACGUGAGGCAGCAGUGGGGAAUAUUGCACAAUGGGCGGAAGCCUGAUGCAGCAACGCCGCGUGCGUGAUGACGGCCUUCGGGUUGUAAACCGCUUUCGCCUGUGACGAAGCGUGAGUGACGGUAAUGGGUAAAGAAGCACCGGCUAACUACGUG
rnacentral:rRNA from 1 species